rnacentral:rRNA from 1 species
CCUACGGGAGGCAGCAGUUAGGAAUCUUCCGCAAUGGGCGCAAGCCUGACGGAGCGACGCCGCUUGGAGGAGGAAGCCCUUCGGGGUGUAAACUCCUGAAACCCCGGGACGAAACCCCCGAUGAGGGGACGUGACGGUACCGGGGUAAGUAGCGCCGGCCGAACUCCGUGCCAGCAGCCGCGGUAAUACGGAGGGCGCGAGCGUUACCCGGAUUUACUGGGCGUAAAGGGCGUGUAGGCGGCCUGGGACGUCCCAUGUGAAAGGCCACGGCUCAACCGUGGAGGAGCGUGGGAUACGCUCAGGCUAGACGGUGGGAGAGGGUGGUGGAAUUCCCGGAGUAGCGGUGAAAUGCGCAGAUACCGGGAGGAACGCCGAUGGCGAAGGCAGCCACCUGGUCCACCCGUGACGCUGNGCGCGAG